AACCGUGAAAGCGUGGCC
rnacentral:snRNA from 1 species